AUUGAACGCUGGCGGCAGGCUUAACACAUGCAAGUCGAGCGGAGAUGAGGUGCUUGCACCUUAUCUUAGCGGCGGACGGGUGGGUAAUGCUUAGGAAUCUGCCUAUUAGUGGGGGACAACAUUCCGAAAGGAAUGCUAAUACCGCAUACGUCCUACGGGAGAAAGCAGGGGAUCUUCGGACCUUGCGCUAAUAGAUGAGCCUAAGUCGGAUUAGCUAGUUGGUGGGGUAAAGGCCUACCAAGGCGACGAUCUGUAGCGGGGCUGAGAGGAUGAUCCGCCACACUGGGACUGAGACACAGCCCAGACUCCUACGGGAGGCAGCAGUGGGGAAUAUUGGACAAUGGGGGAAACCCUGAUCUAGCCAUGCCGCGUGUGUGAAGAAGGCCUUAUGGUUGUAAAGCACUUUAAGCGAGGAGGAGGCUACUGAGACUAAUACUCUUGGAUAGUGGACGUUACUCGCAGAAUAAGCACCGGCUAACUCUGUGCCAGCCGCCGCCGUAA
rnacentral:rRNA from 1 species